rnacentral:rRNA from 1 species
AGAUUGAACGCUGGCGGAAUGCUUUACACAUGCAAGUCGAACGGCAGCACGGGGGCAACCCUGGUGGCGAGUGGCGAACGGGUGAGUAAUACAUCGGAACGUGCCCAGUCGUGGGGGAUAACUACGCGAAAGCGUAGCUAAUACCGCAUACGAUCUACGGAUGAAAGCGGGGGAUCGCAAGACCUCGCGCGAUUGGAGCGGCCGAUGGCAGAUUAGGUAGUUGGUGGGGUAAAGGCUCACCAAGCCUGCGAUCUGUAGCUGGUCUGAGAGGACGACCAGCCACACUGGGACUGAGACACGGCCCAGACCUCCGACGGGAGCAGCAGGUGGGAAUUUUGGACAAGUGGGACGAAAGCCUAGACUCC